rnacentral:rRNA from 1 species
CUAACACAUGCAAGUCGAACGGUAACAGGAAACAGCUUGCUGUUUCGCUGACGAGUGGCGGACGGGUGAGUAAUGUCUGGGAAACUGCCUGAUGGAGGGGGAUAACUACUGGAAACGGUAGCUAAUACCGCAUAACGUCGCAAGAACAAAGAGGGGGACCCUCGGGCCUCUUGCCAUCGGAUGUGCCCAGAUGGGAUUAGCUUGUUGGUGGGGUAACGGCUCACCAAGGCGACGAUCCCUAGCUGGUCUGAGAGGAUGACCAGCCACACUGGAACUGAGACACGGUCCAGACUCGUACGGGAGNCAGCAUUGGGGAAUAUUGGCACAAUGGGCGCAAGCCUGAUGCAGCCAUGCCGCGUGUAUGAAGAAGGCCUUCGGUUUGUAAAGUACUUUCAGCGGGGAGGAAGGGAGUAAAGUUAAUACCUUUGCUCAUGGACGUUACCCGCAGAAGAAGCACCGGCUAACUCCGUGCCAGCAGCCGCGGUAAUACGGAGGGUGCAAGCGUUAAUCGGAAUUACUGGGCGUAAAGCGCACGCAGGCGGUUUGUUAAGUCAGAUGCGAAAUCCCCGGGCUCAACCUGGGAACUGCAUCUGAUACUGGCAAGCUUGAGUCUCGUAGAGGGGGGUAGAAUUCCAGGUGUAGCGGUGAAAUGCGUAG